GCUAUUAUUCGGGGCGCACUCUGAUCAGCCAUGUCGCGUGUAUGAUGAAGGCCUUCGGGUUGUAAAGUACUUUUGGCAGAGAAAAAAAGGGAUCCCCUAAUACGGGAUACUGCUGACGGUAUCUGCAGAAUAAGCACCGGCUAACUACGUGCCAGCAGCCGCUAUAAUA
rnacentral:rRNA from 1 species